rnacentral:rRNA from 1 species
UACGUAGGGUGCGAGCGUUAAUCGGAAUUACUGGGCGUAAAGGGUUCGUAGGUGGCCAACUAAGUCAGACGUGAAAUCCCUCAGCUUAACUGGGGAACUGCGUCUGAGACUGGAUGGCUUGAGUGCAGGAGAGGAACGCGGAAUUCCAGGUGUAGCGGUGAAAUGCGUAGAUAUCUGGAGGAACACCGGUGGCGAAGGCGGCGUUCUGGACUGCAACUGACACUGAGGAACGAAAGCCAGGGGAGCAAACGGG